rnacentral:rRNA from 1 species
GACGAACGCUGGCGGCGUGCAAAAUACAUGCAAGUCGAACGGAGUGGGGAAGGGUGAGUAACACCUGGGUAACCUCCCAUCAGAGGGGAUAACACUUGGAAACAGGUGCUAAACCGAUACUGAUUGAUGGACCCGCGGUGCAUUCGCGAGUUGGUGAGGUAACGGCUCACCAAGGCCACGAUGCAUAGGCGACCGGAGAGGGUGAUCGGCCACACGGGGACUGAGACACGGACCAGACUCCUACGUGAGGCAUGAGUAGGGAAUCUUCGGCAAUGGACGAAAGUUUGACCGAGGAAUGCCGCGUGAGUGAAGAAGGUUUUCGGAUCGUAAAACUCUUUUGUUAGAGAAGCGGUAUCUAACCAGAAAGCCAAGGCUAACUACGUGCCAGCCGCCGCGGUAAUAC